rnacentral:tRNA from 1 species
GCCUAGUUGGCUUAGUUGGUUGUGCGUCUGCCUUGUAAGCGCUAGGCCGCGCCGCGGGUUCGAUUCCCGCCCGGGGCG